rnacentral:rRNA from 1 species
GAUGAACGCUGGCGGCGUGCCUAAUACAUGCAAGUCGAGCGAACAGACGAGGAGCUUUCUCCUCUGACGUUAGCGGCGGACGGGUGAGUAACACGUGGAUAACCUACCUAUAAGACUGGGAUAACUUCGGGAAACCGGAGCUAAUACCGGAUAAUAUAUUGAACCGCAUGGUUCAAUAGUGAAAGACGGUUUUGCUGUCACUUAUAGGUGGAUCCGCGCCGCAUUAGCUAGUUGGUAAGGUAACGGCUUACCAAGGCAACGAUGCGUAGCCGACCUGAGAGGGUGAUCGGCCACACUGGAACUGAGACACGGUCCAGACUCCUACGGGAGGCAGCAGUAGGGAAUCUUCCGCAAUGGGCGAAAGCCUGACGGAGCAACGCCGCGUGAGUGAUGAAGGUCUUCGGAUCGUAAAACUCUGUUAUUAGGGAAGAACAAAUGUGUAAGUAACUAUGCACGUAUUGACGGUACCUAAUCAGAAAGCCACGGCUAACUACGUG